rnacentral:rRNA from 1 species
AUUGAACGCUGGCGGCAGGCUUAACACAUGCAAGUCGAGCGGAGAGAGGUAGCUUGCUACCGAUCUUAGCGGCGGACGGGUGAGUAAUGCUUAGGAAUCUGACUAUUAGUGGGGGGCCACAUUUCGAAAGGAAUGCUAAUACCGCAUACGUCCUACGGGAGAAUGCAGGGGAUCUUCGGACCUUGCGCUAAUAGAUGAGCCGAGGUCUGAGUAGCUAGUUGGUGGGGUAAAGGCCUACCAAGGCGACGAUCUGUAGCGGGUCUGAGAGGAUGAUCCGCCACACUGGGACUGGGACACGGCCCAGACUCAUACGGGAGGCAGCGGUGGGGAUUAGUGGACAAUGGGCGCAAGCCUGAUCCAGCCAUGCCGCGUGUGUGAAGAAGGCCUUAUGGUUGUAAAGCACUUUAAGCGAGUAGGAGGCUACUGAAGUUAAUACCUUCAGAUAGUUGACGUUACUCGCAGAAUAAGCACCGGCUAACUCUGUGCCAGCCGCCGCCGUAACAC